UCCAAUGACGAACGCCAGCGCCUAUUAACAGCGUGACGACACUGACGCUGACACUACAGCGACACUCCCAUCCAUUCAUAAAGUGGAGCGCGAACGAUUCUGUCUCCAGCUCGCGCUGGAGCGCGCGGACAGUCCACGGCGCGUGUUGGAUGUCAGCAUUAGUUCACCUCUGAUCACGCUGUCCAGGCCAGAGUGCCCAUCUGGAGCCCACACGGUCCAUCAACCCAGUCUCCUAUAUAAACCUGUUCAAGAGGUGAAUUGACCUAUUGCACCCAGCGGAGGAGAUAAGCGCAGCUGUUGGAGCGGGUGGAGUGUGCACACGUCUCACUCUCGAGAUGACCAGAUGAAUCAUCAGCAUGGUGUCAACCUCUUUCUCAGUCCGCUUUCUUUUCCUCCAUGUCUCCAGCCAAUCUCUC